rnacentral:rRNA from 1 species
UACGUAGGGGGCGAGCGUUAUCCGGAUUCAUUGGGCGUAAAGCGCGCGUAGGCGGCCUACCAAGCGGGAUGUUAAAGCCCGGGGCUCAACCCCGGCACGCAUCCCGAACUGGCAGGCUUGAGUGCGGUAGGGGAAAGUGGAAUUCCCAGUGUAGCGGUGGAAUGCGCAGAUAUUGGGAAGAACACCGGUGGCGAAGGCGGCUUUCUGGGCCGACACUGACGCUGAGGCGCGAAAGCUAGGGGAGC